AUUGAACGCUGGCGGAAUGCUUUACACAUGCAAGUCGAACGGCAGCACGGGGGCAACCCUGGUGGCGAGUGGCGAACGGGUGAGUAAUACAUCGGAACGUGCCCAGUCGUGGGGGAUAACUACGCGAAAGCGUAGCUAAUACCGCAUACGAUCUACGGAUGAAAGCGGGGGAUCGCAAGACCUCGCGCGAUUGGAGCGGCCGAUGGCAGAUUAGGUAGUUGGUGGGGUAAAGGCUCACCAAGCCGACGAUCUGUAGCUGGUCUGAGAGGACGACCAGCCACACUGGGACUGAGACACGGCCCAGACUCCUACGGGAGGCAGCAGUGGGGAGUUUUGGACAAUGGGCGCAAGCCUGAUCCAGCCAUUCCGCGUGCAGGAUGAAGGCCCUCGGGUUGUAAACUGCUUUUGUACGGAACGAAAAGCCUUCUUCUAAUACAGGAGGGUCAUGACGGUACCGUAAGAAUAAGCACCGGCUAACUACGUGC
rnacentral:rRNA from 1 species